GGUAUGAAACCUCACCUCCUCGUCAUGCUCUACACCCCAGCAUACUUAGUUUUUCAAUUCGAUCAAGUUUUGACAAUUUCGUUUCUGGGUUCCUCUCGGUUUCGACGCUGUCACCGACGCCGGUGACUCCUCCGGCACCUCUCGCCUUGGCUUCCGUCUUACCUGCAUGUGUGGAUGCGUAUUUCAGAAGCUGUGAAUGGGUGGAAGUCGAUUUGGCAGUAUGUUUAUAGCCGGGUUCCAGGAAAGAAUUGAAUUAGAAGCUUGGGUUCUCACCUGCAAGUCGCACUGCUGAAGGACUCCAGUUACCCGAGGAACAGAAGGUUCGCGACUCUCGGAGUACGUGAGAGAAAGCAUCGGAAUCCAGUAUGAAUGCAGGUACUGUGCACUGGUGACGGGACAAUAGCGGAUGGAGCUGGGUGUGCAGAACAAGUUCGGUAAAUUACCGUGUGAACCUUAUUCUAAAUUCUAUUUCUCGAACUUUGUGUUCUGGAACUUGUGGUUAUCUAGUCUCGUGUCAUCAUUUAGUUGAAUUCUCUUCAAGUGAAAUUCAACCUUGUGUGAGCCUUUAUCCAAGUUCUGGACGAAUGAAAUAGAUUUCAGCAA